ACUGGGCUGUUUAUGUGAAAAAACCACAUGAGGUUACUGCAUCUUCAGAGUACACAUGUUUGUCUGUUUCGUAAUUGUUUACUAAUGAACAAAUGAUAAAAGGUAAAGUUUGACUCAAACUAACUCAAAGGUGCCGGCUUUUGGCCUUUGGACCAGGCAAACUUUGAUUGGUUGGGUGCUGCAAGGGUUGUUUCUAGUUCUGUCAACAAAAUCUUAUGUGCUUAUUUUAUUACACCUACGCAACCUAAAAAGAGAACUGUGAAAAGUGCUGUGAAAAAAAAAGGUAUUUGCCCCUUACAGAUUUCUUCAGUUUUUACCUUUUGGUCACACGAAAAUGUUUCAGGUCAUCAAGCAAAUUUUAAAAUCAGGCAAAGAUAACCCGACUAAAUAGAAAACUCCGUUUUUAAAUGUGGAUUUCAAUUCUUAAGGGAUAAAGCUAUCAAACCAACGUGACAAUAUGUGAAAAAGUAAUUGCUUUGUUGGGAUCUGGGAGCCUGUCUGUUUUUUUGCUUGCUGCUAACCUUAUUCGUCCAGCAGAGGGUGUCGAAGCUACAGGAGGAACGUGGACAGGUGUUUUCCAUCUUCUGAUUGCUGUGAACGCUACUUAAGCCGUGGCUGCCUGCUACUCGUCGCCUGAUUGUUGAGCCUAUGUGGAAACUGUAACCUGUGUGUGCGACGAUCCUAUCAUCGUUCCUCUAGCGCUUGGAGCCUUUUGGAUUACCUGUCUGGAUUCUGCAUACACUCCAGGACCGAGCAUUCUUCAUCUUCUACUGGACCUAUGCUACACUACGAUAAGGGUACUCCUCCUGCAGACCUGUUCACCCUCCACUCACUUCCCACGGAGAGUACGAGUGCUGUGACUUUUCCCCGCACAGUUUGAGAGACCAGACUCCUGUCACUUCCUUGUGGGAUUUAGGAAAUAAUAAACUUCUUUUCACCGUGA